GCAAGUCGAGGGGUAACAGAUGAAGAGCUUGCUCAGAUUGCUGACGACCGGCGCACGGGUGAGUAACACGUAUGCAACCUACCUUUUACAGAGUGAUAGCCCAGAGAAAUUUGGAUUAAUACCUCACAAUAUUUUUAACUCGCAUGAGUUUUAAAUUAAAACUUCGGUGGUAAAAGAUGGGCAUGCGUUCUAUUAGUUUGUUGGUGAGGUAACGGCUUACCAAGACUACGAUAGAGAGGGGUGCUGAGAGGAGAGGC
rnacentral:rRNA from 1 species